GUGCAGCUUCGUACCCCGUCUCAGCGCGUUUCUUCCCCUCCUGCUGCUCCACCUCCUACUACUGCUACUUCUUCACGUCCUUCUAUGGACAUUUCCGAGGAAGAUAUCUCAGUUUCCUCUAUGUAUCGUGAGCGACAACGUUUAUCUGAGGAGCUUCAGAAACUGUCUGCGGAGCAAGCUGCGAUACGGAAGGAUGUGAGCAAGAUGAAGCGAUUACUAAGUAUGAUUUUUGACAAGUUAGGGUGUUGCUGAGCAGAUUU
rnacentral:lncRNA from 1 species